GCCCCCAUAGCUCAGUAGGAUAGAGCACAGGUUUCCUAAACCUGGUGCCAGUGGUUCGAAUCCACUUGGGGGUA
rnacentral:tRNA from 2 species